UUAACUAUUAUAUAGUACUCAGACGACAUGUAUAAACAGAGUUUAGGGUCCUCUGGCGUGCGCUCACCAGCGCGAGCCGGUGGCCGAAGCGGCACGCCAAAGCAACAAAGGUAUAUUCAACAUAGGGUUGGAGAGUCACCCUCGCGGGCGAGUUUCUCUGUAAUGAUCCCUCCGCAGGUUCACCUACGGAGA
rnacentral:misc_RNA from 1 species